UAUCGCGCGGAAGAAAUUGGAUGAAACUGAAAGAACAGUUCUGAGUUUUCGGAUUGAAGGUUGCAGAAGAGGAAAUGUUUCCUUCUUGUUUUCGAGUUAUGAACUUUUUGUUGUGCAGAAUAGGGAGAAUCGAGUACGAAUCAUCAUGAGAACGCGUUUCUAAUGGUCACGGGUAUAAAGCAAAGCUAUAGAUUGGAUUGGUUUUGGUGGUUGUUUUUCUUGUUAAUUUGCUUUCAUAAUUUCCAUUCACUGUGAAAACUCACUUCGUAAAAGCGAAAUGUUGAUCAUGCCGAUCUUGUAUUCCAUUCCAACAAAUAGCUGGAAAGCUCAUUAACUGCUGAGGUUCAACCUUAUACGCCGAUCAUUGACAAUGGACCAUUGCCAGGUAUUUGUCGUCGCUCUCAAUUGGAAAUUACUGAUGGGAAUUUAAUCAAACAGUUGGUGGAAUUUAAUGAUCCGUUGUUACACUAUUCGUAUUUUGCUUGAAACACGAGUCAACUGAUGAAAAGUUGAGUGCACUACACUACACUUCACCAUAGUCAAUGUUAUAUCGUGUUCAUUAUAUUGUAAAAGCAGACUAUAGAUCCAUGUGGAAAGAAAUGAUAUCCCAAAUUCUAUAUUACUAAUUUAUUAGUGCGUCAUAUAUA